rnacentral:rRNA from 1 species
GACGAACGCUGGCGGCGUGCUUAACACAUGCAAGUCGAACGGAAAGGCCCUGCUUUUGUGGGGUGCUCGAGUGGCGAACGGGUGAGUAACACGUGAGUAACCUGCCCUUGACUUUGGGAUAACUUCAGGAAACUGGGGCUAAUACCGGAUAGGAGCUCCUGCUGCAUGGUGGGGGUUGGAAAGUUUCGGCGGUCGGGGAUGGACUCGCGGCUUAUCAGCUUGUUGGUGGGGUAGUGGCUUACCAAGGCUUUGACGGGUAGCCGGCCUGAGAGGGUGACCGGCCACAUUGGGACUGAGAUACGGCCCAGACUCCUACGGGAGGCAGCAGUGGGGAAUAUUGCACAAUGGGCGGAAGCCUGAUGCAGCAACGCCGCGUGCGGGAUGACGGCCUUCGGGUUGUAAACCGCUUUCGCCUGUGACGAAGCGUGAGUGACGGUAAUGGGUAAAGAAGCACCGGCUAACUACGUG